GAUGAACGCUGGCGGCGUGCCUAAUACAUGCAAGUCGAGCGAACAGAUGAGGAGCUUGCUCCUCUGACGUUAGCGGCGGACGGGUGAGUAACACGUGGAUAACCUACCUAUAAGACUGGGAUAACUUCGGGAAACCGGAGCUAAUACCGGAUAAUAUAUUGAACCGCAUGGUUCAAUAGUGAAAGACGGUUUUGCUGUCACUUAUAGAUGGAUCCGCGCCGCAUUAGCUAGUUGGUAAGGUAACGGCUUACCAAGGCAACGAUGCGUAGCCGACCUGAGAGGGUGAUCGGCAACACUGAACUGAGACACGGUCCAGACUCCUACGGGAGGCAGCAGUAGGGAAUCUUCCGCAAUGGGCGAAAGCCUGACGGAGCAACGCCGCGUGAGUGAUGAAGGUCUUCGGAUCGUAAAACUCUGUUAUUAGGGAAGAACAAAUGUGUAAGUAACUAUGCACGUCUUGACGGUACCUAAUCAGAAAGCCACGGCUAACUACGUG
rnacentral:rRNA from 1 species